UACGUAGGGUGCAAGCGUUAAUCGGAAUUACUGGGCGUAAAGCGUGCGCAGGCGGUGAUGUAAGACAGGUGUGAAAUCCCCGGGCUUAACCUGGGAACUGCAUUUGUGACUGCAUCGCUGGAGUGCGGCAGAGGGGGAUGGAAUUCCGCGUGUAGCAGUGAAAUGCGUAGAUAUGCGGAGGAACACCGAUGGCGAAGGCAGGUCUCUGGGCUGACACUGACGCUCAUGCACGAAGCGUGGGGAGCAAACAGG
rnacentral:rRNA from 1 species